UACGUAGGGUGCAAGCGUUGUCCGGAAUCACUGGGCGUAAAGGGCGCGUAGGCGGCUCAUGAAGGCUGUGGUGAAAGUCCGGGGCUCAACCUCGGAUCGGCCGUGGCGACUCGUGGGCUGGAGCACUGUAGAGGCGGGUGGAAUUCCGGGUGUAGCGGUGGAAUGCGUAGAGAUCCGGAAGAACACCAGUGGCGAAGGCGGCCCGCUGGGCAGUGGCUGACGCUGAGGCGCGAAAGCGUGGGGAGCGAACAGG
rnacentral:rRNA from 1 species